CCCGCUGAACUUAAGCAUAUCAAUAAGCGGAGGAAAAGAAACCAACAGGGAUUGCCUUAGUAACGGCGAGUGAAGCGGCAAUUGCUCAAAUUUGAAAUCUGGUCUUAGGGCCCGAAUUGUAAUUUGCAGAGGAAGCUUCGGUGAAGGUACCGGCCCAAGUCCCCUGGAAUGGGAUGUCAUAGAGGGUGAGAACCCCGUCCGGCCGAGUACUUGAACCAUGUGUUGCUCCUUCGACGAGUCGAGUUGUUUGGGAAUGCAGCUCAAAAUGGGUGGUAAAUUCCAUCUAAGGCUAAAUAUUGGCCAGAGACCGAUAGCGCACAAGUAGAGUGAUCGAAAGAUGAAAAGCACUUUGAAAAGAGAGUUAAAAAGCACGUGAAAUUGUUGAAAGGGAAGCGCUUGCGGUCAGAACUUUACUGUGGUUGUUCAACCGGUAAUUUUUACCGGCUCACUCUUCCUCAGUAGGGUCAGCAUCGGUUCGAGCGGUCGGAUAAAGGCCUUAGGAAUGUGGCCCUUCGGGGUGUUAAAGCCUUUGGUGCAAUGCGACCCGUUUGGACCGAGGGAAGCGAUUUUCCAGGAUGCUGGCAUAAUGGUUGCAAGCGGCCCGUCUUGAAACACGG
rnacentral:rRNA from 1 species